rnacentral:rRNA from 1 species
UACGUAGGGGGCGAGCGUUAUCCGGAAUUAUUGGGCGUAAAGAGUACGUAGGUGGUUUUGUAAGCGUAGGGUGAAAGCCCGGGGCUCAACUCCGGCGAGCCCUACGAACUGCAAGACUUGAGUGCAGGAGGGGAAAGUGGAAUUCCUGGUGUAGCGGUGAAAUGCGUAGAUAUCAGGAGGAACACCGGUGGCGAAGGCGACUUUCUGGACUGUAACUGACACUGAGGUACGAAAGCGUGGGGAGC